rnacentral:lncRNA from 7 species
GCUCCUCGCUGGACCAGAACCAACCGCAAAAUGAGGCAGGCAGGUUCAGCGCUGACCCACUGCCCCUGCCCCACCCCAGGGCCUCUGUGAGGUCAUCACAUCAUUGUGACAUCACCCGCACAGGAGGGUCCUGGAAGAUCAUAGAACUGCAGGACGGCGUGGCUUGGGAGGUUCCUUAGUGAUCACAGAACCAUAGAAUGGUUUGUGUUGCAAGAGUCCUGGAAGAUGAUAGAACCACAGGAUGGUGUGGGUUGGAAGGGUCCUGGAAGAUCAUAGAAUCACAGAAUGGUUCUUUGAAACAGCUGUGAAGGAUCUGUGAGCAAAUCCGCCGUCAGUAGUUGGUGCCGCGGGAAGGCCUGAGGUCCGACCUUUCCUCCAACGGCUUCAGUGUAACUUUGGAAAGACAGUGCUCACACCUGGUUUGUUCUAUCUGCCAGGACGUCACUCAGCUGCGUUGCGACGGCGACGGCGACGGCGCGCCCUCAUUCAUGGCACGGCGUACAGCCGUCCGCGUGACGACGGCGCACGCGUGGCUGUGUAUCCAUAACAGCCGCGCUUCAGCGCGGCUGUCCCCUUUGGAUGCUCUCAUGGCGCGUCGUCCCACGCUGUGACGUCAUCGCCUUGCGCCCGGGUGAGGCGGCGGCCUCGAGGUUGUCCUGCUGUGCUCCGCAGUGCUCCAACGCCGCGGGGCGGCUCCGGGCGCCGCCUCAGCUUCUACAGGAGAGACGUUGUGGGUGA